rnacentral:lncRNA from 1 species
AUCUAGUGGAAUGCAUGCUUUCAAAUUGCCCAUGCAAUGGCACCUUGCUUUUGAAUGAUCUCCUCAUCCAUGACGAGUUGACGACAGCGUUGGGUCCAUUGUUGCAAGCCACGGGAUCUACUUUUUGCAAUGGCCACGAACAUUUACGAUAAUGCGACACUUAAAGUGUGUCCAAACAGGUGCCGCGCCCAUCGUGUUUGAGAUCAGCAUCACCUCUAAACAUCAUAGUGAGGACUGACAGAAAAGGCACUGUUACGUCCUAGUUGUUCAAGUGGAUCUUGUGAUACUAAUUUAGGAAUUAAGAGCUGAAACAUUAUGCCACUGUGUAUAUUCAACUGGAAAACUCCUAAUUUCUUUUAGCAAUAAUGUGUACAAAAAUACUUGCCCGGUAAAUAGAAAAGAAACUUAAAGAAGACAUAAGCCUGACGGACUUAAGGGGAUGAGAGAACAAAAAAUUUAUACAGCGUCACUGAUAAGAACAUCAGACUAGUCUACUUCCCAAUUGCACACUGGUUGCCAAUGAACGUUCAAUAUCUGGUCAAAAUUCAUCAUGGUUUGUCGCUUGCUAUGUCCGUGUUUGUUCCAUGUUUUAGAUGGGACCGCAGUGCCUCUGGUUGAAAUGGUGCAUAACAUCCAUCUCGACCAUCGGUUAUCUGCAGAGUUCAGCGCAUGAAGCCACCAAUAGAGUCCUCCGCAUCUCCCUUGAUCCUGCACUCGGCAAAGAAGCCCGCUCUCACCGGCCGGUGGUCUGACAACUUGUAGUCGCAGGUCCCAUAUUGGAUUUGUUUCAGGCCCUUGCCGCGCCAAAGAAUGCGAUCACACCUGCACACGAGAAGUUACACAACCAAGGUCACAUUAAUUUGUCCAGAAAAUCCCAUCCCAUUUCAUGUACAUCAUUCUGAGUUAGGCAUCAAGCUAGCUGACCAUGCGGGAGCACGCUUCUUCUCCCCCCGUGCUGCUUCGAAGCACCAGUAGUACUGGUCAGAGUUUGGCUGGUACUUGUAGGUGGGAGAGAAGGUGACCGCCCCUUCCUGAAAGCCCUCAAAAAGCCGCCCCG